AUGUUGUGCGGCUGGCCGAAGCCGUUCACGCUGCCACCCCUCUGGAAGCCGCCGACGGGGGCGCCGCCGCCGCCGCCGAGGCCGAAGAUGGUGAUGUCCUUGCUCAUGCCUUCCUUGACCGGCAUCUUGCUGGUGUUGCGCAGCUGGCUGAGUAUCAUGCCCUUGAUGCACCUGAAGUGCCUGGCCAUCACCCUCAGCGCCAGCGCCGUGAACGGGGCGGCGUUGCUGAACCCAGCCACGCUCUCGAACGACGCGAUCACGGCCUGGACCUGCUGGUAG
rnacentral:rRNA from 1 species